UACAGAGGUCUCAAGCGUUGUUCGGAUUUAUUGGGCGUAAAGGGCGCGUAGGCGGCGGGGUAAGUCGGGUGUGAAAUCUCAGGGCUCAACCCUGAAACUGCACUUGAUACUGCUCUGCUUGAGGACUGGAGAGGAGACUGGAAUUCACGGUGUAGCAGUGAAAUGCGUAGAUAUCGUGAGGAAGACCAGUGGCGAAGGCGGGUUUCUGGACAGUUCCUGACGCUGAGGCGCGAAGGCCAGGGGAGCAAACGGG
rnacentral:rRNA from 1 species